UCGAGCGGUAGCACAGAGAAGCUUGCUUCUUGGGUGACGAGCGGCGGACGGGUGAGUAAUGCAUAGGAAUCUGCCCGAUAGUGGGGGAUAACCUGGGGAAACCCAGGCUAAUACCGCAUACGUCCUACGGGAGAAAGGGGGCUUCGGCUCCCGCUAUUGGAUGAGCCUAUGUCGGAUUAGCUAGUUGGUGAGGUAAAGGCUCACCAAGGCGACGAUCCGUAGCUGGUCUGAGAGGAUGAUCAGCCACAUCGGGACUGAGACACGGCCCGAACUCCUACGGGAGGCAGCAGUGGGGAAUAUUGGACAAUGGGCGCAAGCCUGAUCCAGCCAUGCCGCGUGUGUGAAGAAGGCCUUCGGGUUGUAAAGCACUUUCAGCGAGGAAGAACGCCUAGCGGUUAAUACCCGCUAGGAAAGACAUCACUCGCAGAAGAAGCACCGGCUAACUCCGUGCCAGCAGCCGCGGUAAUACGGAGGGUGCAAGCGUUAAUCGGAAUUACUGGGCGUAAAGCGCGCGUAGGUGGCUUGAUAAGCCGGUUGUGAAAGCCCCGGGCUCAACCUGGGAACGGCAUCCGGAACUGUCAAGCUAGAGUGCAGGAGAGGAAGGUAGAAUUCCCGGUGUAGCGGUGAAAUGCGUAGAGAUCGGGAGGAAUACCAGUGGCGAAGGCGGCCUUCUGGACUGACACUGACACUGAGGUGCGAAAGCGUGGGUAGCAAACAGGAUUAGAUACCCUGGUAGUCCACGCCGUAAACGAUGACAACUAGCUGUCGGGGCUCUUGGAGCUUC
rnacentral:rRNA from 1 species